rnacentral:rRNA from 1 species
UACGAAGGGUGCAAACGUUGCUCGGAAUCAUUGGGCGUAAAGCGCACGUAGGCGGCUUCGCAAGUCGGAUGUGAAAUCCCUCGGCUCAACCGAGGACGUGCAUCCGAAACUGCGAGGCUUGAGUACAGAAGAGGAUCGCGGAAUUCCCGGUGUAGAGGUGAAAUUCGUAGAUAUCGGGAGGAACACCAGUGGCGAAGGCGACUACCUGGCCUGUUCUUGACGCUGAGGCGCGAAAGCUAGGGGAGCAAACGGG